AUUUCAUUCCCCCCACCGAUUUCUCGUCAAUCAACCCACACAUUUUGAAUACGUCACUUCUCCGUUAGCGAUUGCAACAAUCAGCUGAGAUUAUUGACUACCGCGAACCGACAAAACCGAAUCUGCUAACAUUCACCAUGAUUUUAAAUAUUUGCAUAUUAAACAGCUGAUCAAUUCGUCACUAGUGACCCUCGCUGAUUGAUCUUUCUGAAGGAGAUUGUAUUCCAACCGGGGAACUUUGAAAAAUCAGCAGAAUGGUGGGACACAUCAACAAGGACUUGGUGCCUAUGAAGGCGCAUUAUUUUCUUUACAAUGCAGCGACGGGACCAAUAGUGCCAUUCCUUCCGACAAUAGCAAAACAACUCGGUUUCUCCGGUUUCCUCGUGGGAUCGAUAUACACUAUUCUACCAAUAUCAGGUCUCAUAGCAAAGCCCCUGUUUGGUGGCCUGGCAGAUCGAUUUCGCCUGCAGAAAGUCUUCUUUCUCCUGUUCCAAGCCAUACUAGCCAUAGCAUUUUUCUCCAUCUACUUCAUUCCCCCAAUUGAACACCAGGCACCACCAGCACAGGCUAACGUGACACUUACAUGUGAUAACGCACUUGUCUUUUUAAAUAUUUGUUCGAAAAAGGGAUUCACUAAUAAGACCAUCAACAAUGUCAUCGAUCACGGAGAUCCACGAACAAAGUGUCAAAUUUCUUGUGACUCUUCACCCAAAUUAUCGAAGACAAUUUGUAGUUGGGGAGUAUCGGAGUACUGUCUCCAGGAAAAUCCCUCGAAGGUAUCGCAAGAGCGAAUUAAUUUCUCAGCAAUGUUCAAUAUGAAUAAGAAUGUUGAUCUGCUCAAUUGCGCGGACAUGAGACUGAAGAAUGCAACAUUCUUGGAAGGUCAAUACAAUGUUAGUAAACCCGCCUGUCAGAGUCUGGUGACAGCCACUUGUGUUGCCAGUUGUCCAGGAGUGCCCGUGAUGGAGAAGUUGCUUCGAGAGGCUCAUGGAGCCACGAAAAAUCCUACGAGCGAUGAAACGGUUUAUCAGUUCCAUCUGUUCCUCUGGGCUGCUAUCAUCAGCUGGAUGGGAAUGGCUGUAGUUGUCAGCAUUGCUGAUGCCAUUUGUUUUGAUCUUCUGGGUGAUGAUGGGAGAAAAGAAUAUGGGAAGCAGAAAAUGUGGGGCAGUAUAGGCUUUGGUAUAUUCGGUAUAAGUUCUGGGUAUCUGGUGGAUGUAUUCAGCCGUGGACAGACUGUCAAAGAUUAUACUUGCAUUUUUUACAUAAUGCUGAUCGCGAUGAUAUUCGAUAUGAUUGUGUCAGCGACAUUGAAGAAGAAAUCCGCGGAAUACACAGAUCACGAUCCAUCGGUGCUCUGGGAACUGGGCUCAGUGGCAAGGGAAGGAAGAGUCUUAGUAUUUGCAUUUUGGUGCAUCGGUGCAGGGAUGUGCACGGGAGUCGUGUGGAAUUUUUUAUUUUGGUAUACUGAGGAUAUCGUAGGGGACGAUGCUGACUGGUUGAAAACUAUCCAGGGUUUGCUGACAGGGGUUCAGUGCUUUUUGGGAGAGCUACCGUUCAAUUUUCUAUCUGGUAGAGUACUCAAGAAAUUGGGACACAUAAACGUCAUGAGUUUAGUUCUUCUGUUCUACGCCGCCAGAUUCAUGGCUUAUAGUCUUGUCAGGAAUGUAUGGGUAUUCCUGAUCAUUGAAAUACUCCAUGGACCCACGUUGGGCCUUUGUUGGCCGACGAUGGUGUCCUACGGGGAAAAAAUUGCUCCGUCAGGUACACGGGCAACUAUGCAGGGUUUCGUCGGUGCUGUUUUCGAGGGUAUAGGUGUAUCAUCGGGGAGUUUAAUCUGCGGUUGGUUAAUUGGGUCGUACGGUGGAGUCGUCACGUUCCGGGUGUUCUCAGUGGGUGCCCUAGUGUGGCUCGCUAUUUACUGGAUCCUCCAGCUGUUAUUACAAAAAGCCAAAGCCUAUCCCCUUCACCAGGGCCACAGUCGUAAGUGGUGGAAUUUCUAGUUGAGAAAAUCGACUGUCUUAAGGCUCACAAACAAUAAAGUGCACUAUAAAAAAUAUAAUUAUUUACCUGGCGAGUUAUGCAACACCCAGUGAUGCCAUUCUCAUGACCAUGAGCCAGGAACUUCAAACGUAUUGAAUUUCUGAACGAACAAUUUUAACAUAUACCGUAGGGUUUUCCUUUUUCUCAAACUGGUGCUUUACCUUAAUUAAUUUCAAGUGAUGAUAAGUAAAUGUAAAUCAUUUUUAUUUUAUUGGCCGCUGGAAUAAUUGUUGUCAAGUUAAUUUUGCGCUUGACAAUGAUCUGAAAGUGAAGUGAAACUGAUGACACAGGACAAUUAACAAUAAAGUGAGAAAAUUGGUAAAA